rnacentral:rRNA from 1 species
CAGCAGCCGCGGGAAUACGAAGGGUGCAAGCGUUAAUCGGAAUUACUGGGCGUAAAGGGUGCGUAGGCGGUUUGUUAAGUCUGUUGUGAAAUCCCCGGGCUCAACCUGGGAAUGGCAAUGGAUACUGGCAAGCUAGAGUGUGUCAGAGGAUGGUGGAAUUCCCGGUGUAGCGGUGAAAUGCGUAGAGAUCGGGAGGAACAUCAGUGGCGAAGGCGGCCAUCUGGGACAACACUGACGCUGAGGCACGAAAGCGUGGGGAGCAAACAGGAUUAGAUACCCCCGUAGUCCCUGUCUCUUAUAC